AGUCGGGUCCUAAGCUGAGGCCGACAGGCGUAGGCGAUGGAUAACAGGUUGAUAUUCCUGUACCACCUAUAAUCGUUUUAAUCGAUGGGGGGACGCAGUAGGAUAGGCGAAGCGUGCGAUUGGAUUGCACGUCUAAGCAGUAAGGCUGAGUAUUAGGCAAAUCCGGUACUCGUUAAGGCUGAGCUGUGAUGGGGAGAAGACAUUGUGUCUUCGAGUCGUUGAUUUCACACUGCCGAGAAAAGCCUCUAGAUAGAAAAUAGGUGCCCGUACCGCAAACCGACACAGGUAGUCAAGAUGAGAAUUCUAAGGUGAGCGAGCGAACUCUCGUUAAGGAACUCGGCAAAAUGACCCCGUAACUUCGGGAGAAGGGGUGCUCUUUAGGGUUAACGCCCAGAAGAGCCGCAGUGAAUAGGCCCAAGCGACUGUUUAUCAAAAACACAGGUCUCUGCUAAACCGUAAGGUGAUGUAUAGGGGCUGACGCCUGCCCGGUGCUGGAAGGUUAAGAGGAGUGGUUAGCUUCUGCGAAGCUACGAAUCGAAGCCCCAGUAAACGGCGGCCGUAACUAUAACGGUCCUAAGGUAGCGAAAUUCCUUGUCGGGUAAGUUCCGACCCGCACGAAAGGCGUAACGAUUUGGGCACUGUCUCAACGAGAGACUCGGUGAAAUCAUAGUACCUGUGAAGAUGCAGGUUACCCGCGACAGGACGGAAAGACCCCGUGGAGCUUUACUGUAGCCUGAUAUUGAAAUUCGGCACAGCUUGUACAGGAUAGGUAGGAGCCUUUGAAACGUGAGCGCUAGCUUACGUGGAGGCGCUGGUGGGAUACUACCCUAGCUGUGUUGGCUUUCUAACCCGCACCACUUAUCGUGGUGGGAGACAGUGUCAGGCGGGCAGUUUGACUGGGGCGGUCGCCUCCUAAAAGGUAACGGAGGCGCUCAAAGGUUCCCUCAGAAUGGUUGGAAAUCAUUCAUAGAGUGUAAAGGCAUAAGGGAGCUUGACUGCGAGACCUACAAGUCGAGCAGGGUCGAAAGACGGACUUAGUGAUCCGGUGGUUCCGCAUGGAAGGGCCAUCGCUCAACGGAUAAAAGCUACCCCGGGGAUAACAGGCUUAUCUCCCCCAAGAGUUCACAUCGACGGGGAGGUUUGGCACCUCGAUGUCGGCUCAUCGCAUCCUGGGGCUGUAGUCGGUCCCAAGGGUUGGGCUGUUCGCCCAUUAAAGCGGUACGCGAGCUGGGUUCAGAACGUCGUGAGACAGUUCGGUCCCUAUCCGUCGUGGGCGUAGGAAAUUUGAGAGGAGCUGUCCUUAGUACGAGAGGACCGGGAUGGACAUACCUCUGGUGUACCAGUUGUCGUGCCAACGGCAUAGCUGGGUAGCUAUGUGUGGACGGGAUAAGUGCUGAAAGCAUCUAAGCAUGAAGCCCCCCUCAAGAUGAGAUUUCCCAACUUCGGUUAUAAGAUCCCUCAAAGAUGAUGAGGUUAAUAGGUUCGAGGUGGAAGCAUGGUGACAUGUGGAGCUGACGAAUACUAA
rnacentral:rRNA from 1 species